rnacentral:rRNA from 1 species
CAGGACGAACGCUGGCGGCGUGCCUAAUACAUGCAAGUCGAACGGUCUUUUCUAUGGAAGCUUGCUUCCACUGAGAAGAUAGUGGCGAACGGGUGAGUAACACGUGGGUAACCUGCCCAUAAGAGGGGGAUAACAUCUGGAAACGGGUGCUAAUACCGCAUAGUUUUCUUGAUCGCAUGAUCGGGAAAGGAAAGACGGCCUUUGUGCUGUCGCUUAUGGAUGGACCCGCGGCGUAUUAGUUAGUUGGUGAGGUAACGGCUCACCAAGACGAUGAUACGUAGCCGACCUGAGAGGGUGAUCGGCCACAUUGGGACUGAGACACGGCCCAAACUCCUACGGGAGGCAGCAGUAGGGAAUCUUCCGCAAUGGACGAAAGUCUGACGGAGCAACGCCGCGUGAGUGAAGAAAGGUUUUCGGAUCGUAAAACUCUGUUGUCAGAGAAGAACAAGUUGGAGAGUAACUGCUCCAGCCUUGACGGUAUCUGACCAGAAAGCCACGGCUAACUACGUGCCAGCCGCCGC